GAUUAAAGUAACAAAGGGCACACAAGGGAUGCCUAGGUAGAAAGAGCCGAAGAAGGACGUGGUAAGCUGCGAUAAGCUUGGCGAAGUUGCAAACGAACGUGGAUGCCAAGAUCUCCGAAUGGAGCAAUCUGUAAAGAGUCAUGUCUUUACACGAAAGAGGGAACCGGGUGAACUGAAACAUCUAAGUAAUCCGAGGAAAAGAAAGUAACAACGAUACCCUAAGUAGCGGCGAGCGAACGGGGUAGAGCCUAAACCGUAUUCAUGUCAAGGAUGCAGCCGUUGUGGAUAUGGGGUAGCGGGAAAGAGAAAGAAAGAACUGCAAGCUAUUUCGCAGACGUAAGCAAAGGAACAAGAAAGAUCUGGAAAGGUCUACCGUAGAAGGUGAAAGUCCUGUAUUGGUAGUUUUCUUGCGCUGUAUCUCUUCUCCCAAGUAAUGUGGAACACGAGGAAUUCUGCAUGAAUCUGCGAGGACCAAAUCUCGUAAGGCUAAAUACUCUUUCUAACCGAUAGCGCAUAGUACCGUGAGGGAAAGGUGAAAAGAACCCCGGGAGGGGAGUGAAAGAGAACCUGAAAUUGUGUGCUUACAAGCGGUCAGAGCCACUUCGGUGGUGAUGGCGUGCCUUUUGGAGAAUGAUCCUGCGAGUUACGUUUCAUGGCGAGGUUAAGAAGAACGGAGCCGAAGGGAAACCGAGUCUGAAUAGGGCGCAAGAGUCGUGGAGCGUAGACGCGAAACCCGGUGAUCUAAGCCUGUCCAGGAUGAAGCUGUGGUAAGACACAGUGGAGGUCCUAACCCACCGCCGUUGAAAAGUUGGGGGAUGAGGUAGGUUUAGGGGUGAAAAGCCAAUCGAACCGGGAGAUAGCUCGUUCUCUCCGAAAUGCAUCUAGGUGCAGCCUUGCGUGUUUAAUGAUGGGGGUAGAGCACUGACUGAACUAGGGGGCAUAUAGCUUACUGAAUUCAAUCAAACUCCGAAUACCAUUAUUCAAGAGCGCAGGAGUGAGACCAUGGGAGUUAACUUCCAUCGUCGAAAGGGAAACAACCCAGACCACCGGCUAAGGUCCCAAAUCAUAUCUAAGUGGGAAAGGAGGUGGAGAUUCUUAAACAACUAGGAGGUUGGCUUAGAAGCAGCCAUUCCUUGAAAGAGUGCGUAAUAGCUCACUAGUCGAGAGUCUCUGCGCCGACAAUGUAACGGGGCUAAGAUAUGAACCGAAGCUGUGGAUGUCGUAAGACAUGGUAGGAGAGCGUUCUGUAGGCCGUCGAAGGAGGACUGAAAGGAACUCUGGAGGUAUCAGAAGUGAGAAUGCAGGAAUAAGUAGCGAGAAGGGGAGUGAGAAUCUCCCCCGCUGGAAGACCAAGGUUUUCAGGGUAAAGCUUGUCUUCCCUGAGUAAGCCGGGACCUAAGCCCAGGCUAGAAUGCGUAGGCGAAUGGAAAACAGAUGAAUAUUUCUGUGCCAGUUCUACUUUGUGAAGGAGGGACGCAGAAGGGUAUGCGCGCAGACGAACGGAAGAGUCUGUAGAAGCAUGUAGAGUGACUUGGUAGGCAAAUCCGCCAGGUUAGACUUAAGGUGUGACAUAUACUCGCAAGAGGAAUGCGCAAAUCCCACGCUGCCGAGAAAAGCUUCUAGCGGUAAAGUAGAAACUGCCCGUACUGGAAACCGACACAGGUGGUCAGGAUGAGAAAUCUAAAGCGGACAGGCUAACUCUCGUUAAGGAACUCUGCAAAAUGGCCCCGUAACUUCGGGAGAAGGGGUGCCUUUAGGCGUGAGUAUACAAGCGAUACAAAGCGCUUUGAGGUCGCAGUGAAGAGGCUCAAGCAACUGUUUAACAAAAACACAGGUCUAUGCGAAGCUGUAAGGCGAAGUAUAUGGGCUGACACCUGCCCAGUGCCGGAAGGUUAAGAGGAGGAGUGAGAGCUCCGAAUUGAAGCCCCGGUGAACGGCGGCCGUAACUAUAACGGUCCUAAGGUAGCGAAAUUCCUUGUCGGGUAAGUUCCGACCUGCACGAAUGGUGUAAUGAUUUGAGCGCUGUCUUGACGGGAGGCCUGGUGAAAUUGUAUUACCGGUGAAGAUACCGGUUACCUACAGUAGGACGGAAAGACCCCAUGGAGCUUUACUGUAGCUUGGUAUUGGGUUUUGGCAUGGCAUGUAUAGGAUAGUUGGGAGACUGGGAAGGAAUGGCGCUAGCUGUACCGGAGUCAUCGGUGGAAUACCAACCAUUCCCUGCUGAAAUUCUAAUCUGUACUUUGGAGGUACGGAGACAGUGCUAGGUGGGCAGUUUGACUGGGGCGGUCGCCUCCGAAAGAGUAACGGAGGCGUUCAAAGGUUCUCUCAGGUUGGAUGGAAAUCAACCGCAGAGUGCAAUGGCAAAAGAGAGCUUGACUGCAAGACUGACGGGUCGAGCAGAUGCGAAAGCAGGACAUAGUGAUCCGGCGAUUCCGAUGGAAGGGUCGUCGCUCAACGGAUAAAAGCUACCCUGGGGAUAACAGGCUGAUCCUACCCGAGAGUCCAUAUCGACGGUAGGGUUUGGCACCUCGAUGUCGGCUCAUCGCAUCCUGGGGCUGGAGAAGGUCCCAAGGGUUGGGCUGUUCGCCCAUUAAAGCGGUACGUGAGCUGGGUUCAGAACGUCGUGAGACAGUUCGGUCCCUAUCCACUGUAGGCGCAAGAAUAUUGAGAAGAUCUGUCCUUAGUACGAGAGGACCGGGAUGGACAAACCUCUGAUGUACCAGUUGUCACGCCAGUGGCACAGCUGGGUAGUCACGUUUGGCAUAGAUAACCGCUGAAAGCAUCUAAGCGGGAAACUAGCUUCAAGAUAAGUAUUCUACGAGGAAGCUUCGAGAACAGGAGCUGGAUAGGUUGGGGGUGUACGCGCAGUAAUGUGUUUAGCUGACCAAUACUAAUCGAACGAAAUUUUAAUC
rnacentral:rRNA from 1 species